AGUAAAUUGGUUAAGUUAGAAAGGGCGCACGGUGGAUGCCUUGGCACUAGGAGCCGAAGAAGGACGGGACUAACACCGAUAUGCUUUGGGGAGCUGUACGUAAGCGUUGAUCCAGAGAUUUCCGAAUGGGGGAACCCACUAUCUUUAGUCGGAUAGUAUCCUUACGUGAAUACAUAGCGUGAGGAAGGCAGACCCAGGGAACUGAAACAUCUAAGUACCUGGAGGAAGAGAAAGAAAAAUCGAUUUCCUGAGUAGCGGCGAGCGAAACGGAAAGAGCCCAAACCAAGAAGCUUGCUUCUUGGGGUUGUAGGACACUCUAUAUGGAGUUACAAAAGAAAGUUAUAAAUGAAGCGGUCUGGAAAGGCCCGCCAAAGACGGUAACAGCCCGGUAGUUGAAAUGGCUUUCCCUCCAGAGUGGAUCCUGAGUACGGCGGAACACGUGAAAUUCCGUCGGAAUCCGGGAGGACCAUCUCCCAAGGCUAAAUACUCCCUAGUGACCGAUAGUGAACCAGUACCGUGAGGGAAAG
rnacentral:rRNA from 1 species